UUGACCAAAAGCACCAAAAUAAGCCAAAAUUAUCCCACUUACCCCAGCAACAGAUUUUUAUUCCCCACUACCCAAUUUAACUUAAAAAGACAAUUUUACCCUCAGCCAAAUUAAUAAAUUAUACCAUAUGCCAUCGAGCUCUCUCUCCUCUCUGAUCUGACUCUCCCCUCUCUCUCUCUCCACCCUCUCUGAUCUGACUCUCUCUCUCUCUCUUUCUCUCUUUCUCCCAGCCGGCGAUGGUCGUGUAGCCCAGAAGCCGACGCUCGUGCAGCCGGCGGCCUGUUUGUGCAGCCCAGAAGACGGCGGCGAGUUCGUGCAGCUGGCGCCUCUCUCUCGCUGAGUUACUCCAAGUUUCAAUGUUUAUGCCCAGCUUCUCAUAAUUAAGCGAAUAAAAUAGUCUACUCAGACAACGGAGCUCCAACAUCAAUAAUAUGACUUGUGGCAAAUGUUUGCAUGCAGUAGCAAGUGCUUGGAAUUUAGAUUCUUAUAUUGUUGAUUUGGUUUAGUGCGCUUUGAUCUUUGUGUAAUAGAAUUAAUGUAAUGCAAAAAGUCCAAUCAUGUUUCUAGCUUUCCAUGUAAAGUUUUGUUGUUAAGCUCAUCUUUGUAGCAUUUGUAAAACAACAAGUGCCAAACCUCA